rnacentral:rRNA from 1 species
CGGGGGGGGGUGCUAUACAUGCAAGUCGAACGAGCUCUCCCAAAUUGAUUUUAUGCUUGCAUAAAUGAUUUUUGGAUUCGGAGCGAGUGGCGAACUGGUGAGUAACACGUGGGUAACCUGCCCCGAAGCGGGGGAUAACAUUUGGAAACAAGUGCUAAUACCGCAUAAUUAGUUGGAACCGCAUGGUUCCAACUUGAAAGAUGGCUCUGCUAUCACUUUGGGAUGGACCCGCGCCGUAUUAGUUAGUUGGUGAGAUAAAAGCCCACCAAGACGAUGAUACGUAGCCGACCUGAGAGGGUAAUCGGCCACAUUGGGACUGAGACACGGCCCAGACUCCUACGGGAGGCAGCAGUAGGGAAUCUUCCACAAUGGACGAAAGUCUGAUGGAGCAACGCCGCGUGAGUGAUGAAGGUUUUCGGAUCGUAAAACUCUGUUGUUAAAGAAGAACAAGUGUUAGAGUAACUGUUAACACUUUGACGGUAUUUAACCAGAAAGCCACGGCUAACUACGUGCCAGCAGCCGCGGUAAUACGUAGGUGGCAAGCGUUGUCCGGAUUUAUUGGGCGUAAAGCGAGCGCAGGCGGUUUUGUAAGUCUGCUGUGAAAGCCCUCAGCUCAACUGAGGAAGUGCAGUGGAAACUACAAAACUUGAGUACAGAAGAGGAAAGUGGAACUCCAUGUGUAGCGGUGAAAUGCGUAGAUAUAUGGAAGAACACCAGUGGCGAAGGCGGCUUUCUGGUCUGUUACUGACGCUGAGGCUCGAAAGCAUGGGUAGCGAACAGGAUUAGAUACCCUGGUAGUCCAUGCCGUAAACGAUGAAUACUAUGUGUUGGAGGGUUUCCGCCCUUCAGUGCCGCAGCUAACGCAUUAAGUAUUCCGCCUGGGGAGUACGACCGCAAGGUUGAAACUCAAAGGAAUUGACGGGGGCCCGCACAAGUGGUGGAGCAUGGUGGUUUAAUUCGAUGCUACGCGAAGACCUUACCAGCUCUUGACAUCUUCUGCCAACCCAAGAGAUUGGGCGUUCCCUUCGGGGACAGAAUU